UUAGAGUUUGAUCAUGGCUCAGGACGAACGCUGGCGGCGUGCCUAAUACAUGCAAGUCGAGCGCAGGAAGCCGUCUGAACCCUUCGGGGGGACGACGGUGGAAUGAGCGGCGGACGGGUGAGUAACACGUAAAGAACCUGCCCAUAGGUCUGGGAUAACCACGAGAAAUCGGGGCUAAUACCGGAUGUGUCAUCGGACCGCAUGGUCCGCUGAUGAAAGGCGCUCCGGCGUCGCCCAUGGAUGGCUUUGCGGUGCAUUAGCUAGUUGGUGGGGUAACGGCCCACCAAGGCGACGAUGCAUAGCCGACCUGAGAGGGUGAUCGGCCACACUGGGACUGAGACACGGCCCAGACUCCUACGGGAGGCAGCAGUAGGGAAUCUUCCACAAUGGACGAAAGUCUGAUGGAGCAACGCCGCGUGAACGAUGAAGGCUUUCGGGUCGUAAAGUUCUGUUGUAAGGGAAGAACAAGUGCCGCAGGCAAUGGCGGCACCUUGACGGUACCUUGCGAGAAAGCCACGGCUAACUACGUGCCAGCAGCCGCGGUAAUACGUAGGUGGCAAGCGUUGUCCGGAAUUAUUGGGCGUAAAGCGCGCGCAGGCGGCCUCUUAAGUCUGAUGUGAAAGCCCCCGGCUCAACCGGGGAGGGCCAUUGGAAACUGGGAGGCUUGAGUAUAGGAGAGAAGAGUGGAACUCCACGUGUAGCGGUGAAAUGCGUAGAGAUGUGGAGGAACACCAGUGGCGAAAGGCGACUCUUUGGCCUAUAACUGACGCUGAGGCGCGAAAGCGUGGGGAGCAAACAGGAUUAGAUACCCUGGUAGUCCACGCCGUAACGAUGAGUGCUAGGUGUUGGAGGUUUCCGCCCUUCAGUGCUGAAGCUAACGCAUUAAGCACUCCGCCUGGGGAGUACGGUCGCAAGGCUGAAACUCAAAGGGAUUGACGGGACCCGCACAGCGUGAGCAUGGUGGUUUAAUCGAGCCACGCGAAGAGCUACACUUCUGGACAUUCCCCUGACCGGUACAGAGAUGUACCUUCCCCUUCGGGGGCAGGGGUGACAGGUGGUGCAUGGUUGUCGUCAGCUCGUGUCGUGAGAUGUUGGGUUAAGUCCCGCAACGAGCGCAACCCUUGUCCUUAGUUGCCAGCAUUUGGUUGGGCACUCUAGGGAGACUGCCGGUGACAAACCAGAGGAAGGUGGGGAUGACGUCAAAUCAUCAUGCCCCUUAUGAGUUGGGCUACACACGUGCUACAAUGGACGGUACAAAGGGCAGCGAAGCCGCGAGGUGGAGCCAAUCCCAGAAAGCCGUUCUCAGUUCGGAUUGCAGGCUGCAACUCGCCUGCAUGAAGUCGGAAUCGCUAGUAAUCGCAGGUCAGCAUACUGCGGUGAAUACGUUCCCGGGUCUUGUACACACCGCCCGUCACACCACGAGAGUUUGCAACACCCGAAGUCGGUGAGGUAACCGUAAGGAGCCAGCCGCCGAAGGUGGGGCAGAUGAUUGGGGUGAAGUCGUAACAAGGUAACCGUA
rnacentral:rRNA from 1 species